CGAAACCACUACUGCUACCUGUCACUAUGAUAGCUAAAGCUAAGUCCUCAUAACCCUCGUCGUCCCUGAUCUCUCGACCUGCUCAUCCUGAGAAAUUUCGAUAUUUAACCCUAACUACCCUUCGCCUAAUCCACUUGAAUCAUCAGGGAGGCGAUCGAACCCACAUCAUCUCAUCUCAUUCUUUCCUGUUCGGAGGCCCUGCUCCCUAUCGCCCCCCAUCCCGGCGAGCGGCAGCCCCCAUCUCCGGCAAGCGGCGGCGCCCAUCUCCGGUGAGCGGCGGCGCCUGCGUACCCCCUACCAGGCCCCGCCAAGGUUCCGCGAGGGACUGGGCGUGCGCAGGAGGAGCGCCACGGAUGCGGCCACCCUACCUAGGGUUUCGGGUGCCAGCAACAACGGCCGAAUCCACCGGCCCUGAGGGAGAGCCAUGAUCCCCUUCGAAGUUUCUGCUAUGGUCCAUCCGGAUGCAGCAUUUGUACUAGGUGUUCAUGUAGGUCAGUUCUCAGUGGUCCUUGAUGAUGCUGCGACCUCACCUACUACUACUAUGACCUCUCCUACUACUACAGUCACCCCGCUUCGGAGAAAGAAGUUAGCUGUGAAGAAGAAGACCACUCCAAGG